UCAACAGUCUAUUCAUCACGCCUUCAUUGAUCAGUCCCCGGUACUUUCCAACAUGGUGCACAACGCUGUUGUCAACUCCUUCGCUGGCGGGAUACCUCAAGGAUACAGGGGACCGACAUAUUUUCAGCCGAUUCCACCCAAUCAGACUUAUUCAAAUUCGGCUUCGCAGCCGAUCCAAUUUUCUGUUAGGGGAUCAGGUGCUUCCUCAUCAUCAGCUCCUAUGGGAUAUGGCUCCAUCCAAUUGUCCUCUGCGCCAUUCCCUCCAGUCAGCCCA
rnacentral:lncRNA from 1 species